UCGUAAAAACGAGAUGCGAGGGCUGUCGCUGACCUUUUCGGUUGUGCACGCCCGAGCGCUCUCACACAAUCCAUCUCACCUCUUGUGCACCACCGCGUGGGUUUCCUUUCUGGCUUGUCCGGAAGGGGGGCUCGCGUUUUCACACAAACUUGAAGUAGUGUAGAAUGUCCUUUUUUGCAAUAACAUGCAAUCAAUA
rnacentral:misc_RNA from 1 species